rnacentral:rRNA from 1 species
GCUUGUCUCAAAGAUUAAGCCAUGCAUGUCUAAGUAUAAGCACUUAUACCGUGAAACUGCGAAUGGCUCAUUACAUCAGUUAUAGUUUAUUUGAUAGUCCCCACUACUUGGAUAACCGUAGUAAUUCUAGAGCUAAUACAUGCGUCAAGUCCGGACCGCGCGAGCGGGAAGGAUGUGUUUAUUAGAUACAACCAACCCUUCGGGUUCCUGGUGAGUCAUAAUAACCGAACGAACCGCAGGCUUCGGCGGCGGUGGUUCAUUCAAGUUUCUGCCCUAUCAGCUUCCGAUGGUAGUGUAUUGGACUACCAUGGCGUUAACGGGUAACGGAGGGUCAGGGCUCGACACCGGAGACGUAGCCUGAGAGAUGGCUUCGACAUCCAAGGAAGGCAGCAGG